ensembl:lncRNA
UUUCAGUGUCAAACAACGUACUUUAAUAUGAACAGUAAAAGUUUAUGUGAAGAAAGUGCCCAUGCAGGAUCUAUCUAAGAAGCAGCACACAUUGCAGAUGUUUAUCUACACAUAUGUAAACAUCUGUUUGUUGCUGAUUUCCUUGUUGAUAAAGUUUUAUUUAUUGGCAAUUGGACCAUAGUCAGACACUAAAUAUGUUUUUUAUCCAUCAUAUUUGUUGUGUCUAUUAUGAACUGAAUCAUUUUGAAUAAGAUACCAGUAGGUGAGUUUACUGAGAUACCUGCUUUGUAUCUUUGACUGGACUGCCUUUAAGAGUAGGGAAUUUGUAUAAAUUGAUUUGCAAAUUGGUGGCAGCUUAAAAGAACAUUACUUUGCCCAAAGCCUGUAUAAAUAACAUCAGGAAGGGCAUCUGAUGUAAAGCCUUUGCCAAAUCAGUAAAUGAAAAGCAUUUCUUUCAGUUAUUAUACCUAAUUGAAAAGGCAGAAAAACAGAAAUAGCAUUUAAGAUUUCUUCAUCAAACCUCAAAUAUUUGGCACUGACCAUUAUGUUCACACUGUCCAUGUACAGUAUGUAAGAUGUAGAUAAUCUUAAGCUUUAAACUCCGUUAUCUCUUGAUACAUUUCACAGCUAAAUGCUUUGUUUUACAAUUUUCUUGCCUUCAGACCUAAGCAUCCUGUGCAUCUACUCUUUAUGGUGUGAAUGUUUUUUUGAUGGUUGACAAUGAUGCACUUUGGUGAGGGUGAAAUCAACACUGUUUUCGAUUUAUAAAUGUCCAGAUAUGAUCUGGACUAUUGUAGACUUGAGAUCGGUUCAAAAUGAAACCUCAGCUGUCUUAAAUAUCUUGUGUACAAUGACUGUAUGUAUGUAUGUGUGUUAAUAUAUAUUGUUGUAUGUUAGCAAGGUUUUUUAAAAUAGCUUGUGGCUUGAUGUUUUCAAGUAUUUCUGGCUCUCAACAUUCAAUAUUUUGUACAGUAGAAAGAGCAUGAAGUACUUUUUCUAGUUAGUUGCACUGAAGGACAUACAGGAUAUCUAUUCCCCUUUGACGCUGCACUCAUCCAUUUGAAAACAACUUUGUGCAAAUAACAGGAAAUAUUUGGACAAAUCACAACGUUUAAUGCAGUGGAGGCCGAUAUGAGAUUAGAGAGCACUGCAGUGCCCAAAAUGUACCAAAAUGUUUACAACAAUCCAAACUCUCCUUCCUUAAGAGGCAAAACAAGAUCCUUGUUUCAGACACAUGGCAUGUAUGCAAAACUAAAUAUUUUCCAACAAAAAACAAUGUAUGGUACCUUUGUUCAUGUCUUCUUUAUAUAUAUUUUUUAUUUUUUGCACUUUAAGGUAAACAAUAAAUCUGAAAGUUGCAUUUUAAAA